rnacentral:rRNA from 1 species
GUAGGUGGCAAGCGUUGUCCGGAAUUAUUGGGCGUAAAGCGCGCGCAGGCGGUUCUUUAAGUCUGAUGUGAAAGCCCACGGCUCAACCGUGGAGGGUCAUUGGAAACUGGAGAACUUGAGUACAGAAGAGGAAAGCGGAAUUCCACGUGUAGCGGUGAAAUGCAUAGAGAUGUGGAGGAACACCAGUGGCGAAGGCGGCUUUCUGGUCUGUAACUGACGCUGAGGCGCGAAAGCGUGGGGGAGCAAACAGGAUUAGAUACCCUGGUAGUCCACGCCGUAAACGAUGAGUGCUAAGUGUUAGGGGGUUUCCGCCCCUUAGUGCUGCAGCUAACGCAUUAAGCACUCCGCCUGGGAGUACGGCCGCAAGGCUG